CUUAAUGUGGCAGAUUAAGUGCGAUGAACUUAAGAUUCAUUCAUAAAGAGUUAUUCUUUCAUUAAGA
rnacentral:tRNA from 1 species